rnacentral:rRNA from 1 species
GAUGAACGCUGGCGGCGUGCCUAAUACAUGCAAGUCGAGCGAACGGACGAGAAGCUUGCUUCUCUGAUGUUAGCGGCGGACGGGUGAGUAACACGUGGAUAACCUACCUAUAAGACUGGGAUAACUUCGGGAAACCGUAGCUAAUACCGGAUAAUAUUUUGAACCGCAUGGUUCAAAAGUGAAAGACGGUCUUGCUGUCACUUAUAGAUGGAUCCGCGCUGCAUUAGCUAGUUGGUAAGGUAACGGCUUACCAAGCCAACGAUGCAUAGCCGACCUGAGAGGGUGAUCGGCCACACUGGAACUGAGACACGGUCCAGACUCCUACGGGAGGCAGCAGUAGGGAAUCUUCCGCAAUGGGCGAAAGCCUGACGGAGCAACGCCGCGUGAGUGAUGAAGGUCUUCGGAUCGUAAAACUCUGUUAUUAGGGAAGAACAUAUGUGUAAGUAACUGUGCACAUCUUGACGGUACCUAAUCAGAAAGCCACGGCUAACUACGUG